UGUUUUACAUACUAACCGUUCUUUUUGGCUUGCUUUGUAAGUGGAGUGUGUUGAUUCUCUGAAGCAGCUAAAGGAGAAUAAGAAUUUGAUUCGCAUCUUCAUUCUGCUUUUGCAGGAAUGAUAUUGAAGUAGAAGCACUAGUGAUGAAUUGAGAAGAAUACCAGCUAGCACUACCUUCCCUUCCCAAAUGGCCUGAAGGAUUGCUAAUAGCAUACAUGUGUAAGUGACACAAAUUGGGGGAGGAGCCCCUGCUGAAAUUUUACUCAGAACCAUUGAGUGUGUGACAUUUUAAUAUAUCAGUCCACACAGUUAACUAGUAAGUGAUAUUAUAAUUAAUUUAUACUUGUCAUUAUAUUAUUUUCCAAGUUCAAGUUAUAGGUAAGUAUGGUGUACUCUUAGUUCAUUUAAACAUGUUGAUAUCAGUGUCAACCAAAUGUAUU